rnacentral:lncRNA from 1 species
AAAACCAAAAAAAAUGAAUUGUAGAGAGAGAAUGAACCCUCUUUUUCUCAAUGAAAAAGGCAAGGGUAUUUUGGGAUUCAUAAAUGUAAUCUGAUUACACUUAAUUUUACUAAUCAUUUUAUAUUUUUAAUUUUUUAAUUUGUAUUUAUUUGAUUACUAUAUAUGCAUACAAAUUAUUUUAUUUUUUUAUUUUUUUUUUAUUUUUAAAUUUUUC